rnacentral:rRNA from 1 species
UAGCUGGUCUGAGAGGAUGGCCAGCCACACUGGAACUGAGACACGGUCCAGACUCCUACGGGAGGCAGCAGUGGGGAAUAUUGGACAAUGGGGGCAACCCUGAUCCAGCAAUGCCGCGUGUGUGAAGAAGGCCUGAGGGUUGUAAAGCACUUUCAGUGGGGAGGAGGRUUGMUAGGUUAAGAGCUGARCAAUUGGACGUUACCCACAGAAGAAGCACCGGCUAACUCCGUGCCAGCAGCCGCGGUAAUACGGAGGGUGCGAGCGUUAAUCGGAAUUACUGGGCGUAAAGGGUGCGUGGKGUUGAUAAGUUAUCUU